UUGUUAAAAUAAUAUUUUUCUUAAUCUCAAGAACACUAUUUUAUCGAGAUUUUACUGUUGAUCUAAUUCAGCAUUGCUUGCUUGCUUAUUUUAGAUGCCUGAAUCUGGAGAAAUUCUAGAAUACAUCUGUUGUACCAUGUCAUCCAUACAACAAAUAAAUAAUAUCAUAACAUGUGUGCAUUUAUUUUGUAAACUAUCAUACAAGUGGUGGUUGUAUUAAACUCAAUUACACAUGUCAUGCAUGUAUUAAUUGGUUGUAUACAACAAAUAUAUUCUAGAAUUUCUCCUGAAUCUGAUGUUUUCAAGAGUUUUAUGACUC
rnacentral:lncRNA from 1 species